GUGCUCGCUGCCACAGCACAUAUACUAAAAUUGGAACGAUACAGAGAAGUUUAGCAUGGCCCCUGUGCAAGGAUGCCACGCAAAUUCGUGAAGCAUUCCUUUUUUUU
rnacentral:snRNA from 1 species